GACGAACGCUGGCGGCGUGCUUAACACAUGCAAGUCGAACGGAAAGGCCCUGCUUUUGUGGGGUGCUCGAGUGGCGAACGGGUGAGUAACACGUGAGUAACCUGCCCUUGACUUUGGGAUAACUUCAGGAAACUGGGGCUAAUACCGGAUAGGAGCUCCUGCUGCAUGGUGGGGGUUGGAAAGUUUCGGCGGUUGGGGAUGGACUCGCGGCUUAUCAGCUUGUUGGUGGGGUAGUGGCUUACCAAGGCUUUGACGGGUAGCCGGCCUGAGCGGGUGACCGGCCACAUUGGGGCUGAGAUACGGCCCAGACUGCUACGGGAUGCAGCAGUGGGGAAUAUUGCACAAUGGGCGGAAGCCUGAUGCAGCAACGCCGCGUGCGGGAUGACGGCCGUCGGGUUGUAAACCGCUUUCGCCUGUGACGAAGCGUGAGUGACGGUAAUGGGUAAAGAAGCACCGGCUAACUACGUG
rnacentral:rRNA from 1 species